rnacentral:piRNA from 1 species
UCGCUAGCUAUUUACAUAACUUAGUUAAGA